UUUAUUAUAUAUAUAAAUAACAAGGGCAUAAGAGUCUUUUGCCACUUAACGAAGAAUGUAUUUUUGAAAAUGUCUUCUUAGUGGUGGUAAAAAUGAAAAAAUGGUACCAUGAAAGUGGUAAACAUGUAAUUUUCCCUUAAUAAAAUAGAGAACCUAAAAUAUAAUAUUUAUGGGAAAUUUUCAUGUUUACUAGUUUCAUGGUACCAUUAUUCAUCUUUAACCACUAAAAAGACAUUUUCAAAAAUACUUUCUUCAUUAAGUGGCAAAAGACUAUUAUAUAAUUGUUCUCUAUAUAUAUAAUAAAUAAUUGUUUAAAUAAAAAGUAAGAAAUAAAAUAAAAGAUAUAUAUUUGUUUUCGUAUCUUUAAAUUUUAUAUUAUUUUUUUGAUUUGUUUGUAAAAUUUCAAAAUAUUUAAUAUAUAUAUAUAUCUCUACGAAUCAAUUUAAUUUUAAUGAUUUAUUAUGGAAUCCUUAUUUGAUGUUGAAUUCCAUUUUGUAUUAUUAAUUUUGGAAAUUUUAACAUAUUAAAAAGGAAAAUUACAAGUUUACCACUUUCAAGCUACCAUUUUUUUCAUUUUUAGCACCACUAAAUAUACAUUUUCAAAAAUAUUUUUUUCAUUAAGUGGAAAAAGACUCUUAUGCCCUUGUUCUUUAUAUAUAGAGAAUUUAGGCCGUAUACACACAGGAAUUAUCGAAAUUAGAAGAAUACCCGAAACACUGUUGAACUUUUUUUAAUACCAAAACACCCCUAUAUGACUACAACUCAUCUAUCUUGUCCUUGUAGAUUAUGUGUCAGAAACUAGAAGCUAAGAUACUACACGCCACCGACUGUACUUCACUGUUAUUCACAAAGACGCCAGGGAUAGAUGAAAAGGCAGCAAUUACAUUUUUAUAGUUUAUUAGUUGUGUUCAAAGUCACAACCUUUCAUUCUCUCUCGUCAUAAACAUUGUGUCACGUUCUUCACCUCUCCAUUAUCUUUUCAUCUUUUUUUGUGUUCUUCUCUCAGGGAAUACAAAACCAUGUUCAUCUUCUUCCAUGGCAAUCAGGCAACACAUCAGAUUCCGAUCAAAUUAUCUCCCUACCAUUUGCCACCGCUUUUAAUUCCAAAACUGAAGAGGUAUGGAAGAUGUGCACUUCCCUGAACCUUUAUUGUGGGGAAAUUUUUGGAUCUCUGAUUUUUUUUGGAUGGGAAUGCACGGUUAUGGAUGCGCUUAUGUUCGCCCUGGUGCUGCAAGGGAGCUAGCCACAACGAUGCAUCAAGAUGUAGCUGCUGGUUAACCAUAUGUACGACCAAUGUGUAACUGAUAUACUAUCUGAUAAAAUGAUAUUAAUUUGGUUAAUAUUUCUAAUGAUUCGUAAGUGUUAUAUUAACGUCUUAGAUGUCUUUUCGACAAUGUUUUUGUAAGUGGAUCAUGUGUAUAGAAGAUUAUCAAAAUAGUGUGCCGUCUAAUACAUAAUUUAGUAGAUAAACACAACAGAAAAAUAAGCCAAAGAGAAUAACGAAAUAGACAAUAUUGAUGAUCCAGUUGAUGUUGAAUUAUCAGAUGCACAAGACAAUAACCACAUGAACAUCCUUGUUGGUAGCCUUGUGAAUCAGAAAUUAACAACAUUGCUAACAAUUUACGUAUUUGGGAAAGUCACUAAUGACCUUCAUCUAUGUUAACUGCUAAUCUUAGUUUGUAGAUGUUAACUUGUUUUGUAGUACUAUAUUAACUAAUGGUAACUUUACUAAGAUCAAACCUAACAUGUCAAUUAUAUGCUAACUUACCGUUUAGAUGCUAACGUUACUGAUGGCUGUCACCGGAGGAUGUAUGUGCUAACACGAAACUUAGCAAUUUUGCCAUUAAUGACUAAACAACUAAUAGCAUCUUUUCUUUAGGCUUGCAAAAGUAUUCCCGUUUUCAGAACUUUAUCUUAAAGCAUAUUAAUAUUGUUGACUGAUUCAUUAACGUGUAUGCUAAAGCAUUUAUAAACCUAGAAGUGUACAGAAAACAUGUGGUUUAAAAGCCUCCCUUUGCAGACAUAAGAUUUGGUUAUCUGCAAAGGUUAUUUA